rnacentral:rRNA from 1 species
UACGUAGGGUGCGAGCGUUGUCCGGAUUUAUUGGGCGUAAAGAGCUCGUAGGCGGUUUGUCGCGUCGGCCGUGAAAUCUCCACGCUUAACGUGGAGCGUGCGGUCGAUACGGGCAGACUUGAGUUCGGUAGGGGAGACUGGAAUUCCUGGUGUAGCGGUGAAAUGCGUAGAGAGUCGGGGGGAACACCCGUGGCGAAGGCGGCCAGCUGGGCCGACCCUGACACUGGAGGCGCGGAAGGCGUGGGGAGCCGAACAGG